CACACGAACAUCACAUUAGGUCAGACAACUCCUCGUACGACCACAACAACUCAUCUCUUUUUUUCAAGUUCUUCAACUCCUAAUCAUACCAUAACUCUCUCGAUUCUCGAUCAACUCCAUCCAUUCAAAGGUCUAUCUUGAUUGAUUUUUCGACGAGAAACCGAUUCUAGUAUCUGUUGUGUCCGAUUACCAUUCGUCGCGAGUAAUCAGAGCAUCGUGUGAAGAACCCUAAUUUCGAAAUUUGGGGUUUUCCAUUUUGGAGUGAAGUUUGUUGAAUCUGAAGCUUAUUCUAGCAUAGUUAAACAUAAAAGAAUGACGCGGCUGAGACGCCCAGGGAAAGAGAAAGAUGUUGAUCCGCCAUCUAAACCGGCUGCGACAAAGAAGCGGAAAACAACCAUCGAUCAGGUCCACGUGCUCAUUCCGUACUCUAGUUGAACAAUUUUAGUUUUUCUUGUUUUGGUGUGUUUUUGUGUUUUGGUGGUGUUUAACUUUUUAUGUUGAGGGAAUGUGUUUGUGUCAAGUUGUUUUAGAAAUGGUCGCUCAUGAUGUUGGUUAGUUGGUUUUCCCGGGUUCUGUUUUUAGAAGCAUGAUACAUUGGGGACAAUGUCGCCCAAGUGUGGGGAUAUGGAACCCGGGAAGGGAAAAGGCUUGGGACAAAGGUUUGAAAGAGGUUGAAAAAUGAUUGAAAACGAUGAAAAGCGAAAAAUUGGAAUUUUUUUUAAAAUUUUAGAGAAUUUCAUCGCCUUAAGUGAAUUAAACGGAUAUGAAAACCGAACGUUUCAAUCACUAAUGGGUUCCUUGCCGGUAGUAAACUAAUGUAGUCCCUUGUCAUGGUCGUUCCUUUAAGUUUCAUGAGAGUAGCAGGCCGCAUGUUAUUCUCUGUUAGAACUUGUAUGAUUUGAU
rnacentral:lncRNA from 1 species